GACGAACGCUGGCGGCGUGCCUAAUACAUGCAAGUCGAACGAACUCUGGUAUUGAUUGGUGCUUGCAUCAUGAUUUACAUUUGAGUGAGUGGCGAACUGGUGAGUAACACGUGGGAAACCUGCCCAGAAGCGGGGGAUAACACCUGGAAACAGAUGCUAAUACCGCAUAACAACUUGGACCGCAUGGUCCGAGUUUGAAAGAUGGCUUCGGCUAUCACUUUUGGAUGGUCCCGCGGCGUAUUAGCUAGAUGGUGGGGUAACGGCUCACCAUGGCAAUGAUACGUAGCCGACCUGAGAGGGUAAUCGGCCACAUUGGGACUGAGACACGGCCCAAACUCCUACGGGAGGCAGCAGUAGGGAAUCUUCCACAAUGGACGAAAGUCUGAUGGAGCAACGCCGCGUGAGUGAAGAAGGGUUUCGGCUCGUAAAACUCUGUUGUUAAAGAAGAACAUAUCUGAGAGUAACUGUUCAGGUAUUGACGGUAUUUAACCAGAAAGCCACGGCUAACUACGUGCCAGCAGCCGCGGUAAUACGUAGGUGGCAAGCGUUGUCCGGAUUUAUUGGGCGUAAAGCGAGCGCAGGCGGUUUUUUAAGUCUGAUGUGAAAGCCUUCGGCUCAACCGAAGAAGUGCAUCGGAAACUGGGAAACUUGAGUGCAGAAGAGGACAGUGGAACUCCAUGUGUAGCGGUGAAAUGCGUAGAUAUAUGGAAGAACACCAGUGGCGAAGGCGGCUGUCUGGUCUGUAACUGACGCUGAGGCUCGAAAGUAUGGGUAGCAAACAGGAUUAGAUACCCUGGUAGUCCAUACCGUAAACGAUGAAUGCUAAGUGUUGGAGGGUUUCCGCCCUUCAGUGCUGCAGCUAACGCAUUAAGCAUUCCGCCUGGGGAGUACGGCCGCAAGGCUGAAACUCAAAGGAAUUGACGGGGGCCCGCACAAGCGGUGGAGCAUGUGGUUUAAUUCGAAGCUACGCGAAGAACCUACCAGGUCUUGACAUACUAUGCAAAUCUAAGAGAUUAGACGUUCCCUUCGGGGACAUGGAUACAGGUGGUGCAUGGUUGCCGUCAGCUCGUGUCGUGAGAUGUUGGGUUAAGUCCCGCAACGAGCGCAACCCUUAUUAUCAGUUGCCAGCAUUAAGUUGGGCACUCUGGUGAGACUGCCGGUGACAAACCGGAGGAAGGUGGGGAUGACGUCAAAUCAUCAUGCCCCUUAUGACCUGGGCUACACACGUGCUACAAUGGAUGGUACAACGAGUUGCGAACUCGCGAGAGUAAGCUAAUCUCUUAAAGCCAUUCUCAGUUCGGAUUGUAGGCUGCAACUCGCCUACAUGAAGUCGGAAUCGCUAGUAAUCGCGGAUCAGCAUGCCGCGGUGAAUACGUUCCCGGGCCUUGUACACACCGCCCGUCACACCAUGAGAGUUUGUAACACCCAAAGUCGGUGGGGUAACCUUUUAGGAACCAGCCGCCUAAGGUGGGACAGAUGAUUAGGGUG
rnacentral:rRNA from 2 species